GCCCCACUGGCGCAAUUGGAAGCGCGUCAGACUUCUAUCUUUGGCGGUAUCUGAAGGCUGUGGGUUCGAGCCCCACGUGGGGUG